rnacentral:rRNA from 1 species
UGUAAUUUAGGACUGGAAUGAAUGGUUUAACCAAAGUGAGCUUGUCUUUUAAUAAUAUUUUGAAUUUUAUAUUUUAGUAAUAAAGCUAAAAUUAAUUUGAGGGACGAGAAGACCCUAUCAAGUUUUACAAAUUUAUAUUAUUUUCAAUUUAAUAAACCAUUUGUUUAGCUGGGGCAGCUUAUAGAAUAAAUUCUAUUUUUUUAUUGUAAUUUUAAAUUUUGUUUUAUCCUAAAUUUUAGAAUUAAAAAUAAAUUACUG